GCAACAAGUCGAUUGCUCAGAAUAAAACAAGUAAACUAACCUUAAACAACAAAGCAAACUCAAGAAUAAAAUAAAUUUGUAAUAAUAAAAAAUACGGCAUCGCAUGCAAGAAGUACACAAUGAACCAGUCCAUCGAUCCCCCCGUCAAGUGUGGAUAUUGCGGAUGGCUGAUAGGGGGUUGUAACAAUAUUAUUCAGCACAAGUGCUUCAUGCACUUCACUGAAGAAAAUGACCUGCUCCACGUUGAUGACAAUUUUGUUGUAACUUAUAUCCCGAGGGUGGAUACUAUCUCAACAAAUACGCAAAUAACUACCGACGAGACCUCCCAAAUUGAAGGAAGAGAUGAAAUUUUGAUACAAG
rnacentral:misc_RNA from 1 species